GCAUCGAUGAAGAACGCAGCGAAAUGCGAUACGUAAUGUGAAUUGCAAAUUCAGUGAAUCAUCGAGUCUUUGAACGCACAUUGCGCCCCCUGGUAUUCCGGGGGGCAUGCCUGUCCGAGCGUCAUUGCUGCCCUCAAGCACGGCUUGUGUGUUGGGCCCCGUCCUCCGAUCCCGGGGGACGGGCCCGAAAGGCAGCGGCGGCACCGCGUCCGGUCCUCGAGCGUAUGGGGCUUUGUCACCCGCUCUGUAGGCCCGGCCGGCGCUUGCCGAUCAACCCAAAUUUUUAUCCAGGUUGACCUCGGAUCAGGUAGGGAUACCCGCUGAACUUAAGCAUAUCAAUAAGCGGAGGA
rnacentral:misc_RNA from 1 species